rnacentral:tRNA from 1 species
GGGGUUGUGGCUCAGUGGUAGAGUGCUUGUCUAGCAAGUGUGAGGCACUGGGUUCAAUGUUCAGUAACACCA